AAUAAAUUUGGACAGGGCCAGUCAUCAUAAAAAGUUGCUUCUUGACACAUUACCAACCCAGGGGCCUGUUUCAACACAGGGACAUAAGUCUUCUCAGCGUGAGAACAGGAUAGUCUCAGAAUAUUCCAGGAGGCCUCGGGUUGUGUCUUCUGAAAAGGGACGAGGCUUCCUUUCCUGAGUCAUAGGGCAGACUGUCUCUGAAUUGGCAGAUCAAUACAACAAAGUUCUCUUCCCUGAACCUGGGCAAAGAGUUCAACAUAUUCUUCCCGGGGUCAUGAGGAGCUCAUCUAGUUGCUUUCUGGAAAGGCUGUGGCAAGAUUCAGCUCUUACUCCAUCAGAUGGCUCCCUACUGAGGGUAAACCAACUUAGGGGAGACAGAGACUGCUGUUUGCAGUGGAGCAGGCAUGGUAACGGGGAUGACAGAGAUUUGGCCUGGGACUCGGAAGAGUGUCGAACUACCUGACCCACCCGAUGUGUGUGCUUAAAACUGAGUCCUGGAUUCUGAUUGAAACCAAGAUGGGUCUCCAAGGCCUGCCAUCAAAGAGACAUUUGUGUACCCGGACAGAGCUCCCAGCUGAGCCCAGAGGCACAAAGAUAACAGAAUAUUAAACGAGGAAAGACUGGACACCGCAACUUCCCCACUGGUUCUGAUGGGAAGACUAAGGGAGAGGUCACAGAAGGUAAAGAGGGCAUCCCUUGAAACAGGAAGAAGAUAACAGUCCUCCUCUGACUGCAAGUAAGUGAGGCUGCCGUGGUGGGGAGGGAGGGCAGCAGGUGCUCACUGCCCCGUCCAGAUAACGAGUUAAUGAGGAAGGAGACUCAGCUCUCCUCUAUGGCACAGUCAUGACACAGAGCACACAACGAGAACCACAGGAGUUCCUGCAACUCCAAAGCAUAACUUCCGUGCCACUUUUCUUACAGAGGCCCAGUGAGUAAAGGCUCCUGGGGCACUGUGGGCUCCCAGACAUCUUGCGCCUUCUAGGCCUGUUUCUGUCAAUACUGUAAUACCGUAGACACAUUUUUGUCGAGCUGUAUGUCGUGCUACGAAAUCCUCACCAUUAAACAGGCCAAAUGUGCAGACAGAAGUUAUGCAACUUAUCUUAGUUUUCCCCAAACAAGAGAGGACCCGUGGUCUCCCUGAGUGCAGGAAAUCUCUAAGAUUGGUUAGUUUGCCUGGUGUCAAGCUGAUUCUAGGUUCCUAAACUUGAGACAUUAAUACCAAGUGGAAACUAACAGGACAAGUCCCAAGGAAACAGACAGCAUUCUUAAAGGGGUGAUUCGUGGUAGGUGAGGGAUGAAACAGGUCUACUGGUACUUUCUAAUUCUCCCUGGAUUUGAGAUCUUCAGAUGUCACCAUUGCUUUCACAACCAGGAUUAUCAGUUACCUGGGGGCUGUUGGCUCAUCUCGUCCUCAUCCUUCUGAUCUUUUUGAGUUUCUGCAAAUAAAUUUGGACAGGGCCAGUCAUCAUAAAAAGUUGCUUCUUGACACAUUACCAACCCAGGGGCCUGUUUCAACCAGGGACAUAAGUCUUCUCAGCGUGAGAACAGGAUAGUCUCAGAAUAUUCCAGGAGGCCUCGGGUUGUGUCUUCUGAAAAGGGACGAGGCUUCCUUUCCUGAGUCAUAGGGCAGACUGUCUCUGAAUUGGCAGAUCAAUACAACAAAGUUCUCUUCCCUGAACCUGGGCAAAGAGUUCAACAUAUUCUUCCCGAGGUCAUGAGGAGCUCAUCUAGUGCUUUCUGGAAAGGCUGUGGCAAGAUUCAGCUCUUACUCCAUCAGGUAUGCUGGCUGCUGUUGGUUUGGAGGAAGUUAUACACCGAGACUAGACUGAUGGAUGGAAUUUAAUCACUCCUAAAGAGAAAGAAUCUAUGGUGCCACCUGGAGAACAGGAUUCUUGCUAUUCAAGUGGUGGAGGGUGCCAGGGUUCACACCACGCCCUGGGUGGUAAACUUCCAGACACAUUCAAGAGGUGUUUAUCUUUUGACACUUAGUGGCUCCCUACUGAGGGUAAACCAACUUAGGGAGACAGAGACUGCUGUUUGCAGUGGAGCAGGCAUGGUAACGGGGAUGACAGAGAUUUGGCCUGGGACUCGGAAGAGUGUCGAACUACCUGACCCACCGAUGUGUGUGCUUAAAACUGAGUCCUAGAUUCUGAUUGAAACCAAG
ensembl:lncRNA